GCCUGUACUUCCCGCCCGCGGCGCUUCCGGAUGGAUGGAAUGAGGAUUUGGAGCCGGCCCGGUUGCCGGCACAGUUCACCAUCCUCAUUGCCGACGAUGAACCCCCGAUCCGCAACCUUGUGGUUGCAGCGCUUUCGAAUGAAGGGUACGUCCUGCUCCACGCUUCAUCUGGCGCCGAGGCACUGCAGAUUGCCGCGGGGCGGAACGGCCCGAUCGAUCUUCUCAUGACCGAUGCCAACAUGCCGGGCAUGGGUGGGAUCGAGCUCGCGAGGGAGCUCGUUCGAAUCCGAUCCGACAUCAAGGUGAUCGUCAUGUCCGGAGAUUCACCGGAAAAGGUCAGCGUG
rnacentral:misc_RNA from 1 species